UUCAAUAAGUACCACACAAAGGCAGAGGAACUUGGGAUCUUGACACCAUUCACUACUUUGGCCAACAACUUCUUUGCCAUCCUGAAGAAACUUCAGCGUUGUAAGGAAAGAGGGAUGUUUUCUUUAAGCGAGAGUUCCCAAAGGAAGUUUCAGCUAUUCCAGCAAGAAUUUACAAAGUUGAACCCAGAAGUGAGGCUGACAAAGGCCUUGGGAGAAGUGGACAUUCUCUUAGCCUGGAUGGAGAAAGCCUUUCGGCCAUGAUGCUGCAGCCCACCUGCUAUCCAAAAUUCCCCACCAUUUCAAUCAUGUGCCACGUCCUGUGACUUUUCUAUGUGUCAUUUCUUCCUGCCAGCGAUGUUGCUCUGUGCUGAGGCUGCUCCCAGCCUCUCUACAUUCCCUUUUUAGUAGUCACAAUUCAGCCACUCUACUCAGGGAGGCUACACUAAGUUGCUGUGAAUAAUUCUCAAAGCGGAUGACAAAAUGCUGGCUAGUUGUAAACUGUAUUUAUUCCAAAUGUAUUUAAUAAUUUAUUUUUAUUUAUAUGGAGUGACUAUAUG
rnacentral:lncRNA from 1 species